UGAGAUAUAGCAUAAUUAAUGCACUUCGUUUACACCGAAGUAUACUUAUUAUUUUAAGUUAUCUUAA
rnacentral:tRNA from 1 species